rnacentral:rRNA from 1 species
GGAGGUGGCAAGCGUUGUUCGGAAUUACUGGGCGUAAAGGGCGUGUAGGUGGCUUUGUAGGUCAGAUGUGAAAGCCCCGGGCUUAACUCGGGAAUUGCGUUUGAAACCACAGGGCUUGAGGCUGGGAGAGGAAAGCGGAAUUCCUGGUGUAGCGGUGAAAUGCGUAGAUAUCAGGAGGAACACCAGUGGCGAAGGCGGCUUUCUGGACCAGUACUGACACUGAUACGCGAAAGCAUGGGGAGCGAACGGGGAUUAGAUACCCCGGUAGUCCAUGCUGUAAACGAUGAGCACUAGGUGUGGCGGGUAUCGACCCCCCUGCUGUGCCGCAGCAAACGCAUUAAGUGCUCCGCCUGGGAGUACGGUCGCAAGACUG